GGAAUUAUUGGGCGUAAGCGCGCGCAGGCGGUUUCUUAAGUCUGAUGUGAAAGCCCCCGGCUCAACCGGGGAGGGUCAUUGGAAACUGGGAAACUUGAGUGCACACGAGGAAAGUGGAAUUCCAAGUGUAGCGGUGAAAUGCGUAGAGAUUUGGAGGAACACCCCUGGCGAAAGCGACUUUCUGGUCUGUGACUGACACUGAGGCGCGAAAGCGCGGGGAGCAACACACGAUUAUAUACC
rnacentral:rRNA from 1 species